ACCAUGAAUCUUAGUAAUUUAAUAACUCCUAUUAAUUUAUUUAUAUGGUGGCACAAAAUCGGAAGCCCCGACUGUUUACUAAAAACACAACUAUCUGCAAUUAUGAAAAUAAUAGUAUAGGUAGUGAGAUUUGCCCCAAUGCCAUAUUCAUAAGUAAUAAUAAUGGGUAACUGUUUCUUUACAAAAAAUUGGUUAAUAGCGGUCUUAACUAUGAGGAUCCUAAGGUAGCAAAAUAAAUUGGCCAUUAAAUGUGGUCCGGUAUCAAUAAUUUAACGAUGGCUUCACUGUCUCUACAACUUGCUCAGUGAAAUUGAAUUGAAUUACCCGUGCAGAUGC
rnacentral:rRNA from 1 species